AUGAGGACAGAGCCAAAGCAUUGGGCUAGGGCUUUUUUCCCACCUGGAGCAAACUGUGAAUCAGUUGACAAUAAUCUCUGUGAGUCAUUUAACAAUGCCAUCAUAGAAUCGAGGUUCUAUCCAAUUAUUACACAACAGGAAAUGAUAAGGAAGAAGAUGCUUGUUAGAGUGCAAGAGCAGAGAGCCAAAGGGGCAAAGUGGAAGGGAAAAAUUUGCCCAAGUAUUUUGAAGAAACUGCAAGUCAGUAUUAAAAUGACACAGUACAUUGAGGUGCUCUGGAAUGGCAAGGAGGGAUUUGAGGUGAGGCACAUGAAAGGCAGGAAAAAAAGUACACACUACAUCUUGAAAGAAGGAUUUGUACAUGUGGAUACUUUCAGCUGGCAGGCCUCCCUUGUUGUCAUGCCAUUGCAGCUAUCUACAAGUCUGGGAGAAAGAUAG
rnacentral:rRNA from 1 species